GUGCUCGCUUCGGCAGCACAUAUACUAAAAUUGGAACCAUACAGAGAAGAUUAGCAUGGCCCCUGCGCAACGAUAACAUAUAAAAUACUCCAAUUAUGU
ensembl:snRNA U6 U6 spliceosomal RNA